rnacentral:misc_RNA from 1 species
UAGUCGUAACAAGGUUUCCGUAGGUGAACCUGCGGAAGGAUCACUAAAGUAACGCCCUCCGGGGCUCUCUUUAUUCACACACCCCUUGUGCACUUUGGCCACCUGCCGCGCUUCACUGCGUUAGUAGGUGUGUCUUUAUAAUUAUACCCAUAUACACAAGUCAUUGAAUGUAAAAUCGUUAUAAACUAAUAUAA